rnacentral:lncRNA from 1 species
AGAGGCUCUAGAAAGAAAGAAGAAAACCGAGAGAGGGGGGGAAGAGAAGAACACCAAGGAGAAAUCAAAAAUUGAAGGUGGGUCUUUAAUUUGCAGGUAACCUCUUUUAUUUUUAAUUUAUUGAUCCUUAUUAUGAUAUAUUAGAAAUUUGUUAAAUAUGGAUUGAAAUUUAGUGCCUAUGGUUGGUAGAAAUUGUUAUAGAAUUUGAGAAAGGAGGGGAAAAGAGUAAAAACAGAGCAGUUCGAAGUUGUUCUGAACCAUUAAUGGAUGCCAAGCUGGAAAUUAUCCAGUGUGGUCAAGCCCAUGAUGUUAUCGUGCAGCUUAGGGUAAAUUGGUCAAUCGGACGAGUGUUUAGUUAUGUGAAUGUCGUUUUUUAUGUUUUUCAGUGUUCUGGAUCCAAUUAUAGGGUCAGUUUAAACUAAUUCUAAAGUUAAAAUGACGUGUUACAUAAAGUGGUAAUCGGUAGUACUAAUGAGCGCAUUUAGUGACAAUCAACGGUGAAAUAUAGUUCAAUUACCUUAAUAUUUUAAUAGGAUAGGGUGUAACUACUACUAUUUAAUGAGAAUCCAAUGGAUUGAAUUAUAAAUUUAUAGGCUUGAGUUGUAUACAUUCAAUACAUCACAUUAAGGCAUUGUGUGAGGAACGUGAGAGAAAUUAUUGUAUUGGGUUUGCGAAGAAAAAAUUCUUAUAUUGAAUUUUAUCGUUAUUGAUUUAUACAUUGUACUUGUGCACUGAUAAAUUGUGACUAUUAAAUUUUAUGAGUGUGACCAACUAAUAAACAGUUUUCAACAGCAGUGUUUCUAUAUGAAGCUUUAUUUGUACGAGUAAUUGCACGUGUACAUGAGUACUACGCUAAAACAGAAAGAUUAUCUCUUAGGCGUACUCGUUAGAGUUUUACAAUCUAAAAAAUAGAUAAGAUAUAAAUGUAGAUAAAAGAUACAUUGCUACAAAAUGGAGAACAAAUUAAAAAAUAUAAUAAUUUUAAAAAAAAUGUUGCUAGUUUGAACCAUAGAUAGUGUAGAUAAUUUGGAAGAGUCCGUGCUCCGAGGGCACUUGACAUUAUAAUAUUGGGUAAAUUAUACAACAUGGUACAAAGUCUUAUUCUGUAUUUUUACACAUCCACAUUUUAUACAGCAUGAUCCUAUUUUUAUGAAAUAGGUUUAACCAAGCAAAUUUUAUGUUCAAAGAAAUGUAUUUCAGAUUUUUAGAAAAAAUUAACAGAGUUCCUCUUAAAAAUUGGACUAACGUAAAGUUACCACAAUUAAACUUAUUAAUCUCAAAUUGGACAGAGAUAUAUUUUUCUACGUCAUCGAACAUGGAGCGUAGGAGAAAGGUCUCUUGUCUGCUUCCAUUUUUCGACUGAGCUCUCUAUCCUUCUUCAACCUUACUCCGGUGUCGAAAUAGCCUAGAUUCUGAGAUUUCGAAUUCUAUCAAUAAUGGAGGCGCGCGUCUACCGUGGGUGAAAAGUAAACAAACAUAGAUGAGGAAAAAAAUCAAGAAUUCAAAAUGGAUGAGAGAAAAAAAAUCCAAAAACAAUUUGUAUUCACCGAAUAAAAAUCAAAUCAAAUCAUAUAAAUAACCAAUAAAUCAAAAUGGAUGAGAGAAAUAAUUCAAGAAAAAACUAACAUUCAAAGUCUUUAAAGCAUCCGCUUUUGAUUUUUUUUUUUCACUUGCUUCAUUCCUCGUCAUUUUGGCUUCCUCUAGUUUUAUUUUCAUCUGAACAAAUACCACUUAAAUCACUAAAAAAUAAGCAACAGAAAUCAGAAAAAGUCAGCUCCAGAUCUAGUAAAAAAUAAAACAAAAAAAUUCAACAUGCCGGAGUGGUGGUGGUGCCAUCGCUGGUCAGUGAUGAUGGUUCUAUUGCCAGAAACUUCGCUACGGUGCCCGAACAAUCGGUCCAGUACUCACUACCUUAAAAAAUAAAACACAAAAAAGAAAAGAAUUAAAAAGGGAAGGGACAUCCAACCCAACCCCAAAAACCGUCUCUCUUUGUCGUUUCUAGAGCCAACGUGAGUUUCGACCCAACCUGAUAAAACAAUAAAAAUCCUAAAAAAUCAUAACCAAAAAAAUUCUAACACAACCCAAAUUACAAAACCUAAUCCAACACCCAAACCCAACGUCGCUGGGAGAGAGAGGGGGGGUUACGCACGGUAAGCUGCGACGGGGUGGCAGUGAGAAGAGGAGCCUACGGCAUGGCAUGGUGUGGUGGUUGGGUUUGGUGGUAAUGUGAAUGUGGAGAUGGAGAUAGAGGCGGUAGUGAUGGUGGAGUAAGAGAGAUAAGAGUGAAAAAGAGAGAGAUGUAGUACCUACAGUGGCGGUGGAAGUGGGCUGUGGUUUGAGGCAGAGGCAAUGGUGGAUAGGAAGACAGAGAUGAGUGAGAGAAAGAAAGGCGGUACCUACGAUGGCGCGUUGUAGCAGUGGCAAUGUGAAACGGUGUUGGUGACUUGCGGUGGUGGUGGUAGUGGUGGUGACUUGUAGUGGUGGUAGGGAUGGCAACGGG